AACGUAGGUUCCGAGCGUUAUCCGGAUUUACUGGGCGUAAAGCGCGUUCAGGCGGUUUGGCAAGUCGGGCAUGACAUCUCUGGGCUCAACCUGGAGAGGUUGUCCGCUACUGCUAAACUGGAGGGCAGUAGAGGGUGGUGGAAUUCCGGGUGUAGUGGUGAAAGGCGUAGAGAGCCGGAGGAACACCAGUGGCGAAAGCGGCCACCGGGACUGCACCUGACGCUGAAACGCGAAAGCGAGGGGAGCGAACGGG
rnacentral:rRNA from 1 species